UAUGAUCUUACAAGAAUUAUCCGCCUGGGGACUACGAGCAUUAGCUUGAAACCCAAAGGACUUGGCGGUGCUUUAGACCCACCUAGGAGGAGCCUGUUUCUAUAACCGAUGACCCCCGUUAAACCUCACCCUUCCGAAUAUUAGCCUAUAUACCGCCGUCGUCAGUUCUUCCUGUGAAGGAUCUGUAUUGGGCAGGCAUGGUACCACCCGUGAAGACAGGUCGAGGUGUAGCAUGUGGAAGGGGAAGAAAUUGGCUACAUUCGCUGGCUCAGCGAAUUACGGAUGGCGCAGUGAAAGCCUGUGCCUGAAGGCGGAUUUAGAAGUAAGAGGGGAAUAGAGUGUCCCUCUGAAUCAGGCUCUUUAGCGUGCACACACCGCCCGUCACCCUCUGCAAU
rnacentral:rRNA from 1 species